rnacentral:rRNA from 1 species
UGCCAGCCGCCGCGGUAACACGGGGGGCGCAAGCGUUAUUCGGAAUUAUUGGGCGUAAAGGGCGCGCAGGCGGUUCGUUAAGUCUGAUGUGAAAGCCCGGGGCUCAACCCCGGAAGUGCAUUGGAAACUGGCGAACUUGAGUACGGGAGAGGAAAGUGGAAUUCCGAGUGUAGGGGUGAAAUCCGUAGAUAUUCGGAGGAACACCAGUGGCGAAGGCGGCUUUCUGGACCGAUACUGACGCUGAGAUUCGAAAGCGUGGGGAGCAAACAGGAUUAGAUA